CCCCACCUUGAUCACAAAUUGGGCAAUCUAGUGGAUGGUUCAUCAAUAAAAACUCCAUCACUCCUUCUCUAGCUUUCUUUGCAACAGGUGUGUCGGUCUUAAUUUUCAUUCCUACAGAUCAAUAAAAGAAAUCAUCAUAAUGUGCCGAAUCCCUCUAAUCAUGAACAUGAUCAAAUUCCAACAUGUCAUAACCGUAUCCGGCAAUCACAAUACAAGAGGGACACCAAAAUGAAAUCCUAUGCAUAUAAUCAACAAAAG